GAUGAACGCUAGCGACAGGCCUAACACAUGCAAGUCGAGGGGCAGCACAAGGAGCAAUCUGAGGUGGCGACCGGCGCACGGGUGAGUAACACGUAUGCAACCUGCCUGUAAGCGGGGGAUAACCCGUUGAAAGACGGACUAAUACCGCAUAAUACUGGAGAUCUGCAUGGAUAUUCAGUUAAACAUUUAUGGCUUACAGAUGGGCAUGCGCAUGAUUAGAUAGUUGGAGAGGUAACGGCUCCCCAAGUCAACGAUCAUUAGGGGUUCUGAGAGGAAGGUCCCCCACACUGGGACUGAGACACGGCCCAGACUCCUACGGG
rnacentral:rRNA from 1 species